UCGGAUAUGGUGUAGCGGUAACAUCGCUGACUCUCAUGAUACCUCUCACCGAGCAUACUGAGCACUCAGCAGCCCGGGGUUCGACUCUUCGUAUCCGAG